CCCAGUGUGACCCACUGUCACCCCAGUAACUCUCGACCUUCACCCAAACUUUGCUCACGAAAAACUCCUCAACUUCACUUGGGGUUCACCAAGAAACACCCAAAACCCACCCAAGACCCUCCAAACCUUCACCCAAGCUUCAUCUGAAGAACAUCUAAGGAAUGUCCAAGGUCCACCUGACCUUCACUCAAAGAAAGUCCAAGGAACACCCAAGAAACACUCAAGGUUCACCUGACAUUCACCAUAGAACACCCGACCUUCACCCAAACUGCGCAUGAGAAAUUCCUCAACUUCACUUGGGGUUCACCACGAAACACCCAAAACCCACCCAAGGAACACCCAAGGUUCGUCUGACCUUCAUCAAGAAACGCCCGACCUUCCCUCAAGCUUUGCUCAUAAAAAAUUCCUCAAUUUCAUCUGGGGUCCACCAAGGAACACCCAAAACCCACCCAAGAUCCUUCCAGCCUUCACCCAAGCUCCAUCUGAAGAAAAUCUAAGGAAUGCCCAAGGUCCACCUGACCUUCCCUCAAGGAAAGUCCAAGGAACACCCACAGAACACUCAAAACCCACCCAAGGAACACCCAAGGUUCACCUGACAUUCACCAUAGAACACCCGACCUUCACACAAACUUUGCUCACGAAAAAUUCCUCAACUUCACUUGGGGUUCACCAAGAAACACCCAAAACCCACCCAAGACCCUCCAAACCUUCACCCAAGCUCCAUCUGAAGAACAUCUAAGGAAUGUCCAAGGUCCACCUGACCCUCCCUCAAGGAAAGUCCAAGGAACACCCAAGGAACACGAAAGGUUCUUCUGACCUUCAUCAAGAAACGCCUGACCUUCACCCAAACUUUGCUCAUAAAAAACUCCUGAAAUUCACCUGGGGUCCACCAUGAAACACCCAAAAAACA